rnacentral:rRNA from 1 species
UACGGAGGGUGCAAGCGUUGUUCGGAAUCACUGGGCGUAAAGGGCGUGUAGGCGGCCUGUUAAGUCUGAUGUGAAAUCCCCUCGCUCAACGAGGGAACUGCGUCGGAAACUGGCAGGCUCGAGUACCGGAGAGGAAGGUGGAAUUCCCGGUGUAGCGGUGAAAUGCGUAGAUAUCUGGAGGAACACCGGUGGCGAAGGCGGCGUUCUGGACUGCAACUGACACUGAGAAACGAAAGCCAGGGGAGCAAACGGG